GCAUCGGUGGUUCAAUGGUAGAAUUCUCGCCUCCCAUGCGAGUGGUCCGGGUUCGAUUCCCGGCCGAUGCA
rfam:Drosophila ananassae strain TSC#14024-0371.13 Ctg01_15727, whole genome shotgun sequence.